UACGUAGGGUGCGAGCGUAAUCGGAAUUACUGGGCGUAAAGCGUGCGCAGGCGGUUCGUUGUGUCGGCGGUGAAAGCCCGGGCUUAACCUGGGAAUGGCCGUUGAAACUGGCGAACUGGAGUGUGGCAGAGGGGGUGGAAUUCCGCGUGUAGCAGUGAAAUGCGUAGAGAUGCGGAGGAACACCGAUGGCGAAGGCAGGUCUCUGGGCCGAUACUGACGCUGAGGAGCGAAAGCGUGGGAGCGAACAGG
rnacentral:rRNA from 1 species